rnacentral:rRNA from 1 species
CGUGUAGGCGGAGAUGCAAGUCAGAUGUGAAAUCCUCGGGCUUAACCCGGGAACUGCAUUUGAAACUGUAUCCCUUGAGUAUCGGAGAGGCAGGCGGAAUUCCUAGUGUAGCGGUGAAAUGCGUAGAUAUUAGGAGGAACACCAGUGGCGAAGGCGGCCUGCUGGACGACAACUGACGCUGAGGCGCGAAAGCGUGGGAGCAAACA